CUACUUACCCCGCGGGGGAGAUACCAUGGGUCAGAAGGUUUGGGUUUACCAGGGCGAGGGUCGCCAUUGCACUUCGGUCUGGGUGACCCCUGCGAUUCCCAAUGUGGGAAUCUCGCCGCAUAAUUUUGUUAGGGGGGACUGGGGUUCGCGCUCUCCCCCC